GCUUAUGGCCUUACCACCCUGAGCACGCCCGAUCUCGUCUGAUCUCGGAAGCUAAGCAGGGUCGGGCCUGGUUAGUACUUGAAUGGGAGACUGCCUAGGAAUACCAGGUCCUGUAAGCU
ensembl:rRNA 5S_rRNA 5S ribosomal RNA